CUACGUGCCAGCAGCCGCGGUAAUACGUAUGUCGCGAGCGUUAUCCGGAAUUAUUGGGCAUAAAGGGCAUCUAGGCGGCCCUCCAAGUCAGGGGUGAAAACCUGCGGCUCAACCGCAGGCCUGCCUUUGAAACUGAGGGGCUGGAGUACCGGAGAGGUGGACGGAACUGCACGAGUAGAGGUGAAAUUCGUAGAUAUGUGCAGGAAUGCCGAUGAUGAAGAUAGUUCACUGGACGGUAACUGACGCUGAAGUGCGAAAGCCGGGGGAGCGAACAGGAUUAGAUACCCUGGUAGUCCCGGCCGUAAACGAUGAUUACUGGGUGUGGGCAGGAAGACUGUCUGUGCCGAAGCGAAUGCGAUAAGUAAUCCGCCUGGGGAGUACGGCCGCAAGGCUGAAACUCAAAGGAAUUGACGGGGACCCGCACAAGCGGUGGAGCAUGUGGUUUAAUUCGACGCAACGCGAGGAACCUUACCAGAUCUUGACAUCCCG
rnacentral:rRNA from 1 species